rnacentral:rRNA from 1 species
UACGUAGGUGGCAAGCGUUGUCCGGAUUUACUGGGCGUAAAGGGCGUGCAGGCGGUCUGUUAAGUGCAGGGUGAAAGCUCCCGGCUCAACUGGGAGAGGUCCUUGCAUACUGGCGGACUUGAGGGGGGUAGAGGAAAGUGGAAUUCCCGGUGUAGUGGUGAUAUGCGUAGAUAUCGGGAGGAACACCUGUGGCGAAGGCGGCUUUCUGGGCCGUACCUGACGCUGAGACGCGAAAGCGUGGGGAGCGAACAGG